AGAAAAAGAAAAGGACUUUGUUCUGAGAGAUGCGCAUAGAAACAUUUGCCCCAUGAGGAGAAAUAGCAUUCUCUCCUGAACGUGAAGCCAGCUCUUGGUGUUGCUUCACUGCAAUUGCCAUUUGCCAUUGAUGGUUGUUCUUCUCUCUUCUGGGCGAAUAGAGGGAGAGGAUGCAAUCUGAGUGGU
rnacentral:snoRNA from 1 species